AUUGAACGCUGGCGGCAUGCUUUACACAUGCAAGUCGAACGGUAACAGGCCUUCGGGUGCUGACGAGUGGCGAACGGGUGAGUAAUGCAUCGGAACGUGCCCAAUCGUGGGGGAUAACGUAGCGAAAGUUACGCUAAUACCGCAUAAGCCCUGAGGGGGAAAGUGGGGGACCGCAAGGCCUCACGCGAAUGGAGCGGCCGAUGUCAGAUUAGCUAGUUGGUGGGGUAAAGGCUCACCAAGGCGACGAUCUGUAGCGGGUCUGAGAGGAUGAUCCGCCACACUGGGACUGAGACACGGCCCAGACUCCUACGGGAGGCAGCAGUGGGGAAUUUUGGACAAUGGGCGCAAGCCUGAUCCAGCCAUGCCGCGUGCGGGACGAAGGCCUUCGGGUUGUAAAGCUCUUUCGGUCCGGGACGAAGUACGCACGGGUUAACACCGCGUGUGGAUGACGGUACCGGAACUAAGAAGCACCGGCUAACUACGUGCCAGCAGCCGCGGU
rnacentral:rRNA from 1 species